UAGCAUAUCAAUAAGCGGAGGAAAAGAAAAAUAACAAUGAUUUCCCUAGUAACGGCGAGUGAAGAGGAAAGAGCUCAAAGUUGGAACCUGUUUGGCUUAGCCAAACCGGAUUGUAAACUGUAGAAGUGUUUUCCAGACACGCCUGGUAAAAAAGUCCUUUGGAACAGGGCAUCAUAGAGGGUGAGAAUCCCGUCUUUGGCCAGAGCUGUUGUCUUUUGUGAUACAUUUUCAAAGAGUCAGGUUGUUUGGGAAUGCAGCCUAAAUUGGGUGGUAAAUCUCACCUAAAGCUAAAUAUUUGCGAGAGACCGAUAGCGAACAAGUACCGUGAGGGAAAGAUGAAAAGAACUUUGAAAAGAGAGUUAAACAGUAUGUGAAAUUGUUAAAAGGGAACCGUUUGGAGCCAGACUGGCUUGAUCGUAAUCAAUCUAAGCUUCGGCUUGGAUGCACUUGCGGUCUUUGCCUGCCAACGACAAUUUUUUUUGGAGGAAAAAACCAGGAGAAACGUGGCCCCUCGGGGUGUUAUAGUCUCUUGGAAAAUACUCUGAAUUGGAUUGAGGAACGCAGUGAAUGCCUUUAGGCAAGAUUGCUGGGCGCUUUCGCUAAUAGAUGUUAGAAUUUCUGCCUCGGGUGGUGCUGAUGUCUAGCAGAGAAACUCGCUUAGUAUAUUUUUUAUUCGCUUAGGUUGUUGGCUUAAUGACUCUAAAUGACCCGUCUUGAAACACGGACCAAGGAGUCCACCAUUAGUGCGAGUAUUUGGGUGACAAACUCAUAUGCGCAAGGAAACUGAUUGAUACGAAAUCUUUAAGAUGGCAGUAUCACCCGGCGAAGACGUUUUAUACUGAACCGACCGAGGUAAAGCACUAAUGAUGGGACCCGAAAGAUGGUGAACUAUGCCUGAAUAGGGGUGAAGCCGGAGGAAACUCCGGUGGAGGCUCGUAGCGAUUCUGACGUGCAAAUCGAUCGUCAAAUUUGGGUAUAGGGGGCGAAAGACUAAUCGAACCAUCUAGUAGCUGGGUUCUGCGAUCC
rnacentral:rRNA from 1 species